UCGCCUCUGAAAAAGAGCGACAGAGCUCAGUGGGCUCCCUACACAUAGGUUCGUUUUAUAUAUAACAAACACAAAAACACCACUUUUAUACCCGCCGACUCCCUCCUUGUCCCGCCUGGAGGCAGCUUUGGCGCAUGAUCGAACCGUCAGAGGUGAACAUUAAAAACGAAGGCAGUUUGUGCGAAGUCUGUAAGCGGUGUUACUCUGCAAAGCGGCGACUGGCUGCAUGCAGAACCGUUUGGUGGUCAAGCAGCGAGCAUGCGUAGCUGGGAAGUCGUAGUGCAAUGAUUCCAUAGCGAUCAAAAACUGUCGUGGGAAUAUGGUUUAAUCCUGUAUUUUUUUACAAUACGCUUAAAUAAAAGUGACAAUGAUCUAACAACCAGAAGAGGGAAAACUCCCACAGGGUUCUCGUAGUGUAAAGAGUAGCAUGGCUACUCCAAGAAGCUGGCAACCCAGGUUCAAAUCACGGCUUAUAUUUUAGUUAUUUUACAAAUUAUACGCGGACAUCAUCGAGCUUGUUGGUUUAAGUUUUAGAAUUCGUGGGGUUCACAUCUUUUCCCGAAUUUUUUUUUCAAACAAACGAGAAAAAAACGUUAAUUUUAUUUUUUUCAUAUUUUAAAAUAUGCAACUGAAAAGGUUUGUAAAAUGUCGAAGAUGUAAUAACCUGGACAUGCGAACCAAUUGGGAGCCCGUGUGGUGUAAUGGUUGUUUUGACUGCCUCUGAAGCUGCUGACCCGGGUUCAAAUCCCAUUAAAUACUUUUGCUGAUAUACAAAGUGUGUGAUGACGUCACCGCCUGUAUUUCUCCAGCCAGGUGCACGCAGUGCAAUCACUACACCACGCGGAGUCCCGUGUAUCUGUGUAAGCACUCGGUGGCUCACGGGGAUGAGAGGCAGCCCUGGAGUCUGGAGGACUGAGGUUCGAGCCCUGGCAAAGGCGGAGCUGUGGAGAGGAGAUGGAGCCCAAGGUGCAGAGACGUAAACGUGGGGGAGACGUGGACCAGCUGGGAAGGGGAAAGAAGAGAGAGAGAAGACAUUUAUAUUUUUAUGCAUGAACACUAACCAGUUGUGACCACUAGGGGGCGCUGUUCUACCAGUAGGGGGCGCUGUUCUAUGGCCAUACCCAUUAAAAGUGUAAUUUCCUUGCAAAUAAAUACAUUUGUACAGGAUUUUUAGUAUAUUGCAGCUGUAAGCUAAUAUUUUUGCUAAAUCGCGGUAAAAUCUUCCACAAUCUCAAACAAUAACGUUGAUAACUGAAAAAAGUAAUGUACGUCCAUCAGGGGGCACGUUUGAUUGCUGGAAGUUUGCAUGAAAUUGCUGUUUUCAAGACAAAAAACGUGUUUUGUUCCUUUUUUACGACAAAAUACAAACUUAUACACGAUCUAUCUACGACAAAUACCGCGAAAUAUAACGAAACCAUCUAAAUCUAGAUGUUUAAAGCUUAAAAACCAACAAAACGGUAAUCAGGUGCUUGAAGUAUGGCCAAAUUACGCCAAUAAUCCGCACAGACUGCAAAUGGCCUUCAUCCAGCAGUGGAUUAACAAAAGACCUGCAGCUGUACGAGCAGCAACCAACCAGUCACGGGUUUAAACAGAGGGAAACAUUACCCAACCGACCAAAUCUAGGCUGCGGAAAUCUUUUAACACGAUUUACAAUUACUGGUCACGUGGUUUUCUCAGCAAAACAUGACUAGAAGCACAAUCUCCCAGCAAAACAUUGGUGAGCACAAUUGAGCACGUGACUCGAAAUGUGACAUCUCAAUGUUUAAAAUCACAUUGAGCGACCAGCAAUAAGAUAGCAUUCUCUCCCACCUCUCCUAACCUCUCUCCUCUCACUUUACUCCCACUCCCCGUGCUCUCUCCCAACCCUCUUAGCUCCACUCACUCUCGCCGUGCCCUCCGCCCUUGCAGCCAGCGGCUUCCUCUCCCAAACCCCGAGUGAAGCUCCCCUCGAUUUGAGGUCCCCUGCAGCUCAUCGCCCUCGCCCGCCCGCCUUGAGAGCCCAGCGUCGCCUGGCUGUGCCGACAAAACUCCGGAUGUGGUCACCCGAGUCUCACCCUCCCCGGAGUCUCUUCACUGCCCGCGCCUGCUUCCAACUUCAUGGGAUUCACUCCCUCCCGGGCGCAGCUCAUCCGCGCUGGGGAAUUCAUCGCCAGAGCUCGUGGCUCUGCGUGGCACAUACCCAGCAACACCUCCACUUGCUCUGCACUGAGUAACUAGAUUCAGGUACCAUGGCUCUUACUGAGCUGUCUCUGGACAUAGAGAGCGCAUUCAUGUGGCUUCCAGACUACAAGGGGUGAAAUAAAAUCUUCCCGAAUCAACAUGAAAACCCAGUGCAGAGCUUCACGCCUCCUCCCCUCCUCUCCCAUGCAUUCUCAUCCCGGCAUCGAAGCGUCACUUAGCACGGAGCCAUCACCAAAACCAGGGGCAACUUACGCUUCGGAAGGCUCCAUGUGCAGGGUUUCAAUGGCUCCACGUGCAGGGUCUCCGCGCGCCAGGUGCAGUGUCUCUGCGUGCUAUACGCAGGGAGCUGCCUGGCCCUGGCUGUGGCUCUUCAUUGAAUGCAAUGCCUCCCCGCACCGCGUGUAUUUAAAUCUCCCAUCUCCGUGGCUUCACCUCGCAGUUGACUGCUCUCCACUUCACCUGCUCACGUCACCUUCACCUGCAGACGUCCGAGAUGCACCACAUCCUGGUGUCCAAUCGGGUGUGUUGACACUCUGCGGUCUCGGAAACUUCCCAUCUUCUCCGUAACCUCUCACCCUAGUCUGGAUUUGAACCGAGACCCCAGUGCUUUGAGGCGGGUCCGUCCCGGUUGCUGAUGUCGGAAACUGUGUUGAGAGAGCUCACCUGGCCAGUCCUGCGGGUUCCCUGCCUGUGCAUGGCAGGGCCACGUGUGUGUGUGUAUACGCGUGAAUGAUAAAUCCACCCAGAUGUGUGUGUGUGUGUGUACACAAAUAAAGACGACCCACCCCCCUUAUAGCUCAGAUAACCGUUUAGCGCACGUGCUUUUAGUUCUCACGUAUGAAAAACGGUACGGUACAUGAGGGGGUGGGUGACCAGCAACACGAGAGGGCGUCACGGUGGCGAAGUUAGACAUUAUCUCCCUCGCCUGGGACGCAUGAGGCUUGCAAGUUCGCACCAUCGUGGUGGCCGCAUGGAUUUGUUUUCGCCUUCUGGGUUCCUCCGGUUUUGCCCUCCAAAAUUAGAAACGUGCGUUGAGAUCAUGUGAUUUUUUUAUUAUUAUACCCACAUGUGAUAGAAGCCACUUCGAUGAGCUGUCGUGUGUGGUCAGGUCGCCUCUGAAAAAGAGCGACAGAGCUCAGUGGGCUCCCUACACAUAGGUUCGUUUUAUAUAUAACAAACACAAAAACACCACUUUUAUACCCGCCGACUCCCUCCUUGUCCCGCCUGGAGGCAGCUUUGGCGCAUGAUCGAACCGUCAGAGGUGGACAUUAAAAACGAAGUCAGUUUGUGCGAAGUCUGUAAGCGGUGUUACUCUGCAAAGCGGCGACUGGCUGCAUGCAGAACCGUUUGGUGGUCAAGCAGCGAGCAUGCGUAGCUGGGAAGUCGUAGUGCAAUGAUUCCAUAGCGAUCAAAAACUGUCGUGGGAAUAUGGUUUAAUCCUAUAUUUUUUUACAAUACGCUUAAAUAAAAGUGACAAUGAUCUAACAACCAGAAGAGGGAAAACUCCCACAGGGUUCUCGUAGUGUAAAGGGUAGCAUGGCUAUCCCUAGAAGCUGGCAACCCAGGUUCAAAUCACGGCUUAUAUUUUAGUUAUUUUACAUAAUAUACGAGGACAUCAUCGAGCUUGUUGGUUUAAGUUUUAGAAUUCGUGGGGGUUCACAUCUUUUCACGAAUUUUUUUUUAUUCAAACAAACGAGAAAAAAACGUCAAUUUUAUUUUUUUCAUAUUUUUAAAUAUGCAACUGAAAAGGUUUGUAAAAUGUCGAAGAUGUAAUAACCUGGACAUGAGAAACAAUUGUGAGCCCGUGUGGUGUAAGGGAUGUUUUGACUGCUUCUGAAGCUGCUGACCCGGGUUCAAAUCCCACUUUACACUUUUGCUGAUAUACAAAGUGUGUGAUGACGUCACCGCCUGUAUUUCUCCAGCCAGGUGCACGCAGUGCAAUCACUACACCACGCGGUGUCCCGUGUAUCUGUGUAAGCACUCGGUGGCUCACGGGGAUGAGAGGCAGCCCUGGAGUCUGGGAGGACUGAGGUUCGAGCCCUGGUCAAAGGUGAGUGCUGAAUAAACACGCAGUGCAAAGUAUGUCAAUGUUCUAGCCAACAUGUGUGUAUGUUCUAACCAACGUAUGUGUAUGUGCUAACGUGUGUCUCUGUGUACAAAAUGCAGGCGGAGCUGUGGAGAGGAGAUGGAGCCCAAGGUGCAGAGACGGAGACGUGGACCAGCUGGGAAGGGGAAAGAAGAGAGAGAAGACAUUUAUAUUUUUUUGCAUUAACACAAACCAGUUGUGACCACUAGGGGGCGCUGUUCUACCAGUAGGGGGCGCUGGUCUACCAGUAGGGGGCGUUGUUCUAUGGCCAUACCCAUUAAAAGUGUAAUUUCCUUGCAAAUAAAUACAUUUGUACAGGAUUUUUAGUAUAUUGCAGCUGUAAGCUAAUAUUUUUGCUAAAUCGCGGUAAAAUCUUCCACAAUCUCAAACAAUAACGUUGAUAACUGAAAAAAGAGUAAUUUACGUCCAUCAGGGGGCACGUUUGAUUGCUGGAAGUUUGCAUGAAAUUUCUGUUUUCAAGACAAACAACGUGUUUUGUUUCUUUUUUUACGACAAAAUACAAACUUAUACACGAUCUAUCUACGACAAAUACCGCGAAAUAUAACGAAACUAUCUAAAUCUAGAUGUUUAAAGCUUAAAAACCAACAAAACGGUAAUCAGGUGCUUGAUGUAUGGCCAAGUUACGCCAAUAAUCCGCACAGACUGCAAAUGGCCUUCAUCCAGCAGUGGAUUAACAAAAGACCUGCAGCUGUACAAGCAGCAACCAACCAGUCACGGGUUUAAACAGAGGGAAACAUUACCCAACCGACCAAAUCUAGCCUGCGGAAAUCUUUUAACACGAUUUACAAUUACUGGUCACGUGGUUUUCUCAGCAAAAUAUGACUAGAAGCACAAUCUCCCAGCAAAACAUUGGUGAGCACAAUUGAGCACGUGACUCGAAAUGUGACAUCUCAAUGUUUAAAAUCACAAUUGAACACGUGACUCGAAAUGUGACAUCUCAAUGUUUAAAAUCACAUUGAGCGACCAGCAAUAAGAUAGCAUUCUCUCCCACCUCUCCUAACCUUUCUCCUCUCACUUUACUCCCACUCCCCGUGCUCUCUCCCAACCCUCUUACCUCCACUCCCCCUCGCCGUGCCCUCCGCCCUUGCAGCCAGCGGCUUCCUCUCCCAAACCCCGAGUGAAGCUCCCCUCGAUUUGAGGUCCCCUGCAUCUCAUCGAACCUCGCCCGCCCGCCCGCCUUGAGAGCCCGGCGUCGCCUGUCUGUGGCGACAAAACUCCGGAUGUGGUCACCCGAGUCUCACCCUUCCCGGAGUCUCUUCACUGCCCGCGCCUGCUUCCAACUUCAUGGGAUUCACUCCCUCCCGGGCGCAGCUCAUCCGCGCUGGGGAAUUCAUCGCCAGAGCUCGCCAGGUGCACGCAGUGCAAUCACUACACCACGCGGUGUCCCGUGUAUCUGUGUAAGCACUCGGUGGCUCACGGGGAUGAGAGGCAGCCCUGGAGUCUGGAGGCCUGAGGUUCGAGCCCUGGCAAAGGCGGAGCUGUGGAGAGGAGAUGGAGCCCAAGGUGCAGAGACGGAGACGUGGACCGGAAGGGAAGAAGAGAGAGAAGACAUUUAUAUUUUUUGCAUUAACACAAACCAGUUGUGACCACUAGGGGGCGCUGUUCUACCAGUAGGGGGCGUUGUUCUAUGGCCAUACCCAUUAAAAGUGUCAUUUCCUUGCAAAUAAAUACAUUUGUACAGGAUUUUUAGUAUAUUGCAGCUGUAAGCUAAUAUUUUUGCUAAAUCGCGGUAAAAUCUUCCACAAUCUCAAACAAUAACGUUGAUAACUGAAAAAAGAGUAAUUUACGUCCAUCAGGGGGCACGUUUGAUUGCUGGAAGUUUGCAUGAAAUUUCUGUUUUCAAGACAAA